GUCUAAUUUGACAAGCCCUUACGUCUGGUGUGAGUGUUUUUAGCUUUCAAUCCAGUGAACAAAUUUGCAUUGUUGUCUUGAUACUAGUACAUUACUAGCAAAGGGCGAUCAAGACGAAAUACCGUCAGAGAUUAAAAACGCCAAUAAUGUCCUGUGUCUGAAGCUCUCUCUAAUUUCCCUGUCAUCAUCAGUGAUUUGUGUGGUAAUAAGCAGGGACAUCCAUCACACUGAUACUAGAUCCCAGAAUGUGUAUGUCAUCCACGUCAAUGUAUUCAGCACAAAACAAAACUAAUAAUGAAUAUCAUCCUGACACCCAUUUACUGUGCCUGUGCAUGGAGCAAUGAGUGGAGCCUUGCCCUGUAGCCGUUGGCUGUAAAGGCCACACUUCUGUGAAAAUCUCUGCAGAGGUGAAACUGAGCCUAGCUCUGGCACUGCCCAGCGCUAACAAGCGAAAUCCAGCGAACAAACCCUCCUUCAUUCAGGAGCCCUGCAAAAAUAAACUACACACCUUUUAUUUUUCUUUUGAUCGUGUACAAAUGUUGAUUUUACUGUGGUGCCCUGUUUCCAUUGCUUUACCUCUAUGAAUUCAUUCCAGCCUUCUUAGAGCUCAGUAUAUAUCAUCAGUUUUAGAAGUGAUUUAUCCUGGGUGACCUAACUGAGACUCGGAACAUAGUGGGGGUCUUGC